UCAGAAAUAGGGCUUUUGGAGGGGUAAUUAAGUUAAAAUGAGGGCUUUGCAGUUGGGGGAGGCUAAUCCGAUCUGACUGGUGUCCUUAUAAAAGGAGAUUAGGACGCACAGAGAGACACUGGACACAGCCGUGAAGAGAGGGAAGGCCACGUGAAGACACUGCAAGAGGACAGCCAAGGGCCUCAGAAGAAACCCAGCUUGAGCACACCCUGAUCUUGGACUUCUCGUCUCCCAGACUAAGAAAGUGAAUUGCUGUUGUAGAGUGGAGAAGGUUCGCAGGAUUUCGAGGACAGCCCUCCUCCCGUGUGAGCACGGUGUUUCCUGUGGUGUUGGGACACCUGGCAAGAUUACGGACCGGGCUCAGUCCUGCUGAGUUAGCUGAGAAAAAAGAAGGUGAAACUGUUACCGACCAAAGAGGGGGGCCUGGGACGAUAUACUAUUGCC